rnacentral:sRNA from 1 species
AAGUGUUCCCCUCUGGAGGUUUGCCCAAGUGGCACCUUCAUAACUAAGCCGGGCUUUUCAGUCCGGCUCUUUUUUUGCCUGAA